rnacentral:rRNA from 1 species
GAUCCUGGCUCAGGAUGAACGCUAGCUACAGGCUUAACACAUGCAAGUCGAGGGGAAACGAUAUUGGAAGCUUGCUUCCAAUAGGCGUCGACCGGCGCACGGGUGAGUAACGCGUAUCCAACCUGCCCACCACUUGGGGAUAACCUUGCGAAAGUAAGACUAAUACCCAAUGACGUCUCUAGAAGACAUCUGAAGGAGAUUAAAGAUUUAUCGGUGAUGGAUGGGGAUGCGUCUGAUUAGCUUG